UACGAAGGGGGCUAGCGUUGUUCGGAAUUACUGGGCGUAAAGGGCGCGUAGGCGGUACUUCAAGUCAGGCGUGAAAGCCCCGGGCUCAACCUGGGAACCGCGCUUGAGACUGGAGAACUAGAGUUCGGGAGAGGAUGGUGGAAUUCCCAGUGUAGAGGUGAAAUGCGUAGAUAUCUGGAGGAAUACCGGUGGCGAAGGCGGCAUCCUGGACCGGCAUUGACGCUGAGGAGCGAAAGCCAGGGGAGCAAAUGGG
rnacentral:rRNA from 1 species